rnacentral:lncRNA from 1 species
AGAUCUUUAGCUAAUAGCAAAAUUGAAUUUGAUAAAAACAUCUUUUUCUCUCUGUGUAAGGUGCUCCAUUUUGAGAUCAUUCUCCAUACAUGAUCUUGAGUCUCUAAUAAUCUCUGUCAAGAGCUAAGCAUUGUUUGUGUGUUGACACUCAAAGAUUCUGCUACAUCUUUCCUUCCACAUCCACUAAAUAGCGCAUUUGAAUAUAAC